UACGGGGGGGGCAAGCGUUGUUCGGAAUUACUGGGCGUAAAGGGCUCGUAGGUGGCCAACUAAGUCAUACGUGAAAUCCCUCGGCUUAACCGGGGAACUGCGUCUGAUACUGGAUGGCUUGAGAUUGGGAGAGGGAUGCGGAAUUCCAGGUGUAGCGGUGAAAUGCGUAGAUAUCUGGAGGAACACCGGUGGCGAAGGCGGCAUCCUGGACCGGUAUUGACGCUGAUGCGCGAAAGCCAGGGGAGCAAAGCAGG
rnacentral:rRNA from 1 species